AAAGUGCUGGGAUUAUAAGCGUGAGCCACCGCUCCCAGCCUUCCCUUGUAUUAUUUUUUUUCCUAUACAAAGAAAUGAAAGGAAGGAGCUAGUCCAAAAACAAAACAAAACAAAAACUUUCUGGGCGCGCAAUGCAUGCUUCUAAUUUCCUCCACAGACACUGAGCCCCUUCAGCAAGGGACUGUACCUCCUUCUCUUCCCCAGCCUAACUGUGGACCUGAAUCAGGGUUAGGCUGAACAUGAUGAGUGACUGCAAUGUUGAAUAUCACCGUGGUGGGUCACAGAAAGUCAAAACAGGAAGGAACCCUGGAGAUCAUGAGAUAGUGCUGGCCUCCACUCAGCUGACAGCCUGUAUCCGUUCCUUCUUUGCCUGGUGAUUGUCUGUCUUCCCCACCACGGCAGCUCCAUGCAGGUAGGGGUUUUGUCUGUUUGGUUUUCUGCCCUACCCCAGCUCCUAGAAUAGUAACUGCCAUAUAGAAGGU
rnacentral:lncRNA from 13 species